GACGAACGCUGGCGGCGUGCCUAAUACAUGCAAGUAGAACGCAGUUGCGAACGGGUGAGUAACGCGUAGGUAACUGCCUCAUAGCGGGGGAUAACUAUUGGAAACGAUAGCUAAUACCGCAUACUGUGAGAUGGACCUGCGUUGUAUUAGGUUGUUGGUGAGGUAAAGGCGCACCAAGGCGACGGUACAUAGCCGACCUGGGAGGGUGUGCGGCCAAAAUGGGACGGAGAAACGGCCCAGACUCCCACGGGAAGGAGCAGUAGGGAAACGUCGGAAAUGGACGGAAGUCUGACCGAGCAACGCCGCGUGAGUGAAGAAGGUUUUCGGAUCGUAAAGCUCUGUUGUUAGAGAAGCGGUAACUAAAGAGAAAGGGACGGCUAACUACGUGCCAGCAGCCGCGGUAAUAC
rnacentral:rRNA from 1 species